AUCCGUCUGUGGUUCACACCUAAGGUGACUGGGUGAUCACUCCCUGUGUGGGAUGCACCUACUCAAACCUUGUUACUACGUCCACACUUUACCCGGCUGACA
rnacentral:snoRNA from 1 species